rnacentral:rRNA from 1 species
ACGAACGCUGGCGGCAUGCCUAACACAUGCCGGUCGCACGAAGGCUUCGGCCUUAGUGGCGCACGGGUGCGUAACGCGUGGGAAUCUGCCCUUUGGUUCGGAAUAACAGCUGGAAACGGCUGCUAAUACCGGAUGAUGACGAAAGUCCAAAGAUUUAUCGCCAGAGGAUGAGCCCGCGUUGGAUUAGGUAGUUGGUGGGGUAAAGGCCUACCAAGCCGACGAUCCAUAGCUGGUCUGAGAGGAUGAUCAGCCACACUGGGACUGAGACACGGCCCAGACUCCUACGGGAGGCAGCAGUGGGGAAUAUUGGACAAUGGGCGCAAGCCUGAUCCAGCAAUGCCGCGUGAGUGAUGAAGGCCCUAGGGUUGUAAAGCUCUUUUACCCGGGAAGAUAAUGACUGUACCGGGAGAAUAAGCCCCGGCUAACUCCGUG